UACAACCAUAUCACGUUGAAACACCGGUCCCCGUACGAACACUGAAGUUAAACAACGUCAAACUUGGUCAGUACCGAGAUGGGUGACCGCUUGGGAAUCCCAGGUACUUC